rnacentral:rRNA from 1 species
GCGUGCGUGAAGAAGGCCUUAGGGUUGUAAAGCGCUUUCACCGGUGACGAUGAUGACGGUAGCCGGAGAAGAAGCCCCGGCUAACUCCGUGCCAGCAGCCGCGGUAAUACGGAGGGGGCAAGCGUUGUUCGGAAUUACUGGGCGUAAAGGGCGCGUAGGCGGAAGAUCAAGUCAGGGGUGAAAGGCCUGGGCUCAACCCGGGAACUGCCUUUGAAACUGAUUUUCUAGAGUACGGGAGAGGAUGGCGGAAUUCCCAGUGUAGAGGUGAAAUUCGU